ACAGUGUCUGACACAUGAUAAGCAGUCUCCAUAUUUUUUUUUUUUUUGGCCAGGCAGCAGGCCAUGUGGGAUCUUAGUUCCCCAACCAGGGAUCGAACAACUGGCCCUUGCAAUGGAAGUGAGGAGUCUUAACCACUGGACCACCAGGGAAGUCCCUGACACAUGAUAAAUGUGAAACAAAUGGACUUGUGUGCCUUUAGGAGCUUCUUCUAGGAGUGAGUGGCAGGUAUGCCUCCAGCAGCGCUGUCAUUGUGAGUGACCAUAUGAAUGAUCCGGGAGUUACUGGUGCCUGUGAGUUCUAGGCGCUGCAGAGGAGCUGGCCAUGCAGAAUCCACGCAAGACCCACCCCAGGGACUACAGGCUGCGGUUCUGAAGACUGAGCCAACAGGUUCUGUGUCCAGCUGUGACAAGUUUUGACUUCUCCCUUCUCUCCGAAGCCAGCCUGCAGGUUUUUUGCAGGCUAGUCGUGGAUAAGAACACCUACUUCUGGUGGUUCCUGUAAGGAUUUUGGCAAGGGAGGGC
rnacentral:lncRNA from 1 species